rnacentral:rRNA from 1 species
UACGGAAGGUCCGGGCGUUAUCCGGAUUUAUUGGGUUUAAAGGGAGCGCAGGCGGAAGAUUAAGCGUGACGUGAAAUGUACCGGCUCAACCGGUGACGUGCGUCGCGAACUGGUUUUCUUGAGUGAGUACGACGUGUACGGAAUUCGUGGUGUAGCGGUGAAAUGCUUAGAUAUCACGAAGAACUCCGAUUGCGAAGGCAGUGCACGAGUCCUUUACUGACGCUAAAGCUCGAAGGUGCGGGUAU